AGAGUUUGAUCCUGGCUCAGAUUGAACGCUGGCGGCAGGCCUAACACAUGCAAGUCGAGCGGUAGCACAGAGAGCUUGCUCUCGGGUGACGAGCGGCGGACGGGUGAGUAAUGUCUGGGAAACUGCCUGAUGGAGGGGGAUAACUACUGGAAACGGUAGCUAAUACCGCAUAACGUCGCAAGACCAAAGUGGGGGACCUUCGGGCCUCAUGCCAUCAGAUGUGCCCAGAUGGGAUUAGCUAGUAGGUGGGGUAACGGCUCACCUAGGCGACGAUCCCUAGCUGGUCUGAGAGGAUGACCAGCCACACUGGAACUGAGACACGGUCCAGACUCCUACGGGAGGCAGCAGUGGGGAAUAUUGCACAAUGGGCGCAAGCCUGAUGCAGCCAUGCCGCGUGUGUGAAGAAGGCCUUCGGGUUGUAAAGCACUUUCAGCGGGGAGGAAGGCGUUAAGGUUAAUAACCUUGGCGAUUGACGUUACCCGCAGAAGAAGCACCGGCUAACUCCGUGCCAGCAGCCGCGGUAAUACGGAGGGUGCAAGCGUUAAUCGGAAUUACUGGGCGUAAAGCGCACGCAGGCGGUCUGUCAAGUCGGAUGUGAAAUCCCCGGGCUCAACCUGGGAACUGCAUUCGAAACUGGCAGGCUAGAGUCUUGUAGAGGGGGGUAGAAUUCCAGGUGUAGCGGUGAAAUGCGUAGAGAUCUGGAGGAAUACCGGUGGCGAAGGCGGCCCCCUGGACAAAGACUGACGCUCAGGUGCGAAAGCGUGGGGAGCAAACAGGAUUAGAUACCCUGGUAGUCCACGCCGUAAACGAUGUCGACUUGGAGGUUGUGCCCUUGAGGCGUGGCUUCCGGAGCUAACGCGUUAAAUCGACCGCCUGGGGAGUACGGCCGCAAGGUUAAAACUCAAAUGAAUUGACGGGGGCCCGCACAAGCGGUGGAGCAUGUGGUUUAAUUCGAUGCAACGCGAAGAACCUUACCUGGUCUUGACAUCCACAGAACUUUCCAGAGAUGGAUUGGUGCCUUCGGGAACUGUGAGACAGGUGCUGCAUGGCUGUCGUCAGCUCGUGUUGUGAAAUGUUGGGUUAAGUCCCGCAACGAGCGCAACCCUUAUCCUUUGUUGCCAGCGGUUCGGCCGGGAACUCAAAGGAGACUGCCAGUGAUAAACUGGAGGAAGGUGGGGAUGACGUCAAGUCAUCAUGGCCCUUACGACCAGGGCUACACACGUGCUACAAUGGCAUAUACAAAGAGAAGCGACCUCGCGAGAGCAAGCGGACCUCAUAAAGUAUGUCGUAGUCCGGAUUGGAGUCUGCAACUCGACUCCAUGAAGUCGGAAUCGCUAGUAAUCGUAGAUCAGAAUGCUACGGUGAAUACGUUCCCGGGCCUUGUACACACCGCCCGUCACACCAUGGGAGUGGGUUGCA
rnacentral:rRNA from 1 species